rnacentral:rRNA from 1 species
CAUGCAAGUCGAGGGGAAACGACAUCGAAAGCUUGCUUUUGAUGGGCGUCGACCGGCGCACGGGUGAGUAACGCGUAUCCAACCUGCCCACCACUUGGGGAUAACCUUGCGAAAGUAAGACUAAUACCCAAUGACGUCUCUAGAAGACAUCUGAAAGAGAUUAAAGAUUUAUCGGUGAUGGAUGGGGAUGCGUCUGAUUAGCUUGUUGGCGGGGUAACGGCCCACCAAGGCGACGAUCAGUAGGGGUUCUGAGAGGAAGGUCCCCCACAUUGGAACUGAGACACGGUCCAAACUCCUACGGGAGGCAGCAGUGAGGAAUAUUGGUCAAUGGACGAGAGUCUGAACCAGCCAAGUAGCGUGCAGGAAGACGGCCCUAUGGGUUGUAAACUGCUUUUAUAAGGGGAUAAAGUGAGAGUCGUGACUCUUUUUGCAUGUACCUUAUGAAUAAGGACCGGCUAAUUCCGUGCCAGCAGCCGCGGUAAUACGGAAGGUCCGGGCGUUAUCCGGAUUUAUUGGGUUUAAAGGGAGCGUAGGCCGGAGAUUAAGCGUGUUGUGAAAUGUAGAUGCUCAACAUCUGAACUGCAGCGCGAACUGGUUUCCUUGAGUACGCACAAAGUGGGCGGAAUUCGUGGUGUAGCGGUGAAAUGCUUAGAUAUCACGAAGAACUCCGAUUGCGAAGGCAGCUCACUGGAGCGCAACUGACGCUGAAGCUCGAAAGUGCGGGUAUCGAACAGGAUUAGAUACCCUGGUAGUCCGCACGGUAAACGAUGGAUGCC